UGUAGGGUGGCCGACAUAAGCAGAAACCUGUAAAUUUUCCCAUGAACUAUAAUUCCCCUGCAA
rnacentral:tRNA from 1 species